AUCAGGCUCCAGUGCAGUGGGGUUUACAACUAAUUAAUCACAACCAGUUACAGAUUUAUUUGACCCCUUUCCGCUCUGACUGCUUCAUUUGACUAGACUUGA
ensembl:misc_RNA Y_RNA Y RNA